AACUUCAACCCGGUCAUGCUUUCUACUCAUUGUUGACUCAGUCAGGACUGUUUGACCAGCAGCGCAGCCCUCGUUUCAAAUUCAAAAU